rnacentral:rRNA from 1 species
GUAUAACAAAACCUCCGAGCGAUUUUAACUAAGACUUACCCGUCUAAGUCACAUAACUCAUUGAUCCAAUCAUAUUGAUCAACGAAACAAGUUACCCUAGGGAUAACAGCGCAAUCCUAUUUGAGAGUUCAUAUCGACAAUAGGGUUUACGACCUCGAUGUUGGAUCAGGACACCCAAAUGGUGCAGCAGCUAUUAAAGGUUCGUUUGUUCAACGAUUAAAGUCCUACGUGAUCUGAGUUCAGACCGGAGAA